UAUCUGCAGUGUGAAGAGCUGUGAGAGUCCAGCAUCGAACCAGGGUUCCUCUGGAUGUGACUCACUGGUUAACAGGAGAGUUCCAUGUUAAAAUGGGUGCAGAUCUGUUCCAGACAAAGACAGAUGGUGUUUGACUCCAUGAAUCAGUUUA